rnacentral:lncRNA from 1 species
UUCUAAUACUUGAGCCAGAGAUGACUUGCCAACGACUCCCCUUUAGAAUAAUGUCUCUAGCUUCCAAUAGACUAGACCAACACCAGGAAGCCCUAUAGCCUUUGAUUGCUUCAAAGAAGCUGCAAUUAGGAAAAUAUCUUGCUUUUAAUACCUGUGCCCAGGUUGAAUGGGGUUCUUGAAUUAGGCGCCAGCACUGUUUUGCAAGGGGGCCAGAUUAAACUGGUGCAAAUCUCUGAAUCCCAUUCCUCCUUCAGAUUUAGGAGUCCCCAAGAAAUCCCAACUCUUCCAAUGAAGUUUGUUCCCGUUUUGAGUUUUUCCCCACCAAAAAUUACUCAGAGCAGAAUUGACUUCAUUACAAAAGUUCUUUGGUAGGAGAAAGCAGCUCAUUGGAUACGCUGGAACUGCUUGAGCCACAGAUUUUAGAAGGACCUCCCUACCGGCAAGAGACAAAGUGCUCUGUUUCCAUCCAUCAAGUUUCCUGUUCACCCUUUCCAUGAUGUAACUCAGGGCUGCCUUCUUGGACUUUCCCCACACUGUAACUCAGGGCUCCCUUUCCAUGAUUUCUUGCGGUGUUAAUGGGGGAAGAAAGUGAAACUCAGUACGUACGUUGAAAGAGAAGAAUUGAGUUUGAACGCUGAAGCCUGACGGAGGAUCGAAGCCUGCAAGCGACUCAUAGCUAGAAAAUUAUGCAAAAAAAAAUGAAGAGGCUGAUAUUGAGGAGCUCAUCAAAGCAGUUGCAUAUCAGGUGGCAAAGUAAUUGUCAGUGGAACAGCAGUUGGAGAGAUGGGCACUACAUAUCUGCUCUUGGUGAUGAUAACUUGAACAGAGAUUUUGCUGUACAACAGUUGAAGCUUAGCCAGCCUGACACAAUGAUCAGGGAUAUGUUGACUAUCUUGGUUUAGGAAAUUGCUGGUUUUGGGGUCUGAGGACUAUUGAUAGUAUAUUAGAUGACCUUGAAAGGGAGAUUGAUAAUGGAGUGAACACUUACCAGGCAAUGUGGAAUGAUAGCCCGUAUUCUUCCUGGAGCUGGAGCUACUGAAAUAGAGUUAGCUAGGAGGGUGAAGGAAUUCUCCUUGAAGGAAACAGGAUGAUAUCACUAUGCUAUAGCAAAAUUUAC